GCGUCUUACCAUUUCGACCAAUCAGGUUUAUCGUUGUAGGGUGCAACGGGCGGAGUGUGGUGGCGUGCAACAGUCGUCUUCGAAGCUGCGUCUGUUUAGCACGUGUCUGCAACAGACGUGUUCGUGUCGUGUACUUGCUUAGGGAUCGGCCUAUAGCAGAAUAUACCGAACAUUGCCGAGUGUUGCCGAAGUGCCGACCGGUCUACGAUGGGAAGGAAGGUCUCCCCAUUGCUCUCUCGAGCGUCGAAGUGAGAAGACGUGUUUAGGUCGUGCUCCCGCAUAAGCUAUUGCAAAAAUAUUUAUUUGAUUUCAAAAAGGCACCAUGGGAUACAACGCCAUUGAUAUUGGUUCGAAAUAUAAUUUUGUAAAGGGUAUAUAAUAUAAUUAGUAACGUUUUAAUUUAUUAUAAUCAAUUAUUAAUGCUUUUUUUGAAUCGUUGUUAAGUGUAAGCAUGUUUGAUAAUUAAUUGGU